GCGUGCAAGUGGGGGGUGGGUGGGCCCCAAGGCUGCUGGGUGAGCUGGGUGAGCUGCCAAUGCUGUCCUUUGUGUGUGAAGGACCGUGCUUCUCCCGGCGCGCGUCCCGUUUCCCGGAAGUGCCAGUAUCCGCCGCGGGCGGGCGCGGGACGUAUGGCCCCGCAGCAGCGUCCGCGCCACCCGAGGAGGCAGGCGCGCAGGUUGCCGCUGUUUCACGAGCCUAGAGCCUGCCAGCUCCUGUGCAGGCUCACCCAGACAGCUACGUGAAUGAGAGGAUGGAAUAGUUCUGGGCUGCAUCAUCGUAGGGAGUCAACGUUACUUUUGGCAAGUGCUGUCUUCCCUGGCAAUUGUGGUUCAUGGCUCAGCACUAACUCAGACCAUGUGGACCGCAGAUGAGAUUGCCCAGCUGUGUUACGAGCACUACAGGAGCAGGCUGCCCAAGCAGGGGAAGCCUGAGCCCAACCGUGAGUGGACGUUAUUAGCAGCUGUGGUGAAGAUAAAACCUGCAGCUGACCAGGCCUGCGGCGGCACUAACAGACGAGCACAAGUGACAAAGGAAGUUGUCUCAAUGGGAACAGGAACGAAAUGCAUAGGCCAGUCCAAAAUGAGGAAGAGCGGAGACAUCCUCAAUGAUAGCCAUGCUGAGGUCAUAGCCAGGAGGAGUUUCCAAAGGUACCUUCUCCAUCAGCUCCACUUGGCAGCCGCCCUGAAGGAGGAUAGCAUCUUUGUCCCUGGAACUCAGAGAGGGCUGUGGAAACUCAGACCAGACCUCUUGUUUGUGUUUUUCUCCAGCCAUACACCCUGUGGGGAUGCCUCCAUCAUUCCAAUGCUUGAGUUUGAAGAUCAGCCCUGCUGUCCUGUCCAUAGAGAUUGGGCCAAUAACCCAUCAGUAGAAGCCAGUGGUGAUCUGGAAGAUCCUGAAGAUAAAAAGAAAUGUGAAGACCUGGGUAGUCCUGUGGCCAAAAAGAUGAGGCAUGAGCCUGGGAUUCCUGACAGUGUGGCCCACCAUCAGAGUUUUGGCCAUCAGGAAAGUGGCCCAGUCCCACCAAGUGUCAGUGGCUCUCAUCUUACUGCAGAGGAACUGGCCGCUGUCACCGGAAUGGCCCCCAGUGGUGCCAAAGUGGUGGACGUUCAUAGAACCGGAGCCAAAUGUGUGCCAGGAGAAGCUGGAGACUCGGGGAAGCCUGGUGCUGCUUAUCACCAGGUGGGACUGCUCCGAGUGAAGCCCGGCCGGGGAGACCGGACUUGCUCCCUGUCCUGCAGUGACAAGCUGGCCCGGUGGAAUGUCCUCGGAUGCCAGGGGGCACUGUUGAUGCACCUUCUAGAAGAGCCCAUCUACCUGUCAGCCGUGGUGAUUGGGAGGUGCCCAUACAGCCAGGAGGCCAUGCAGAGAGCUCUGACUGGGAGGUGUCGGAACGUCUCAGCGCUACCCAAAGGCUUUGGAGUUCAGGAAGUGAAAAUAGAGCAGUCAGGUUUCCUGUUUGAACAGAGCCGCUGUGCAGUGCAGGCAAAAAGGGCUGAUGGCCCCGGCCGACUUGUUCCUUGUGGUGCAGCCAUCAGCUGGAGCGCAGUUCCUGAGCAGCCGCUGGAUGUCACUACCAAUGGUUUUCCGCAGGGAACAACGAAGAAAGCAAUCAGGUGCCUCCAGGCCAGAUCCCGAAUCAGCAAAGUGGAACUCUUUAGAUCAUUUCAGAGACUGCUAAGCAGUAUUUCAGAGGACAAAUGGCCAGACUCCCUCAGGACGCGGAAGCUGGAGACGUACCACGAAUACAAGGAGGCCGCGUCCGCUUACCAGGAAGCCUGGAGUGUGCUCCGAAAGCAGGCCUUUGGAUCUUGGAUCAGAAACCCACCAGAUUAUCACCAGUUCAAAUAAGAAGGGCAAACUGCAACAAGCUUGUUGGUAGCAGAGUGUUUUCCAGCUGUCCAUACUGGACUGCUGCUGCUUUUGUGCUGGACAAGCCUUAGCUUUUCUUGAGGCCGAGUCAGGAAAAAAAAAAAAAAAAAGAAAAGGUCUGCCAUCUACCAGAGUGACCUAUCUCUUCGGACAGAAUUCUGGAUCGUGGAACAAUCUAUCCUUGAUUGAAGUAGCUCCCUCUGCUAAAAUGGCAUCUGGCUGAUGACCUUGGCAUCUGUCCUAAAUUGUGUGUUAUUGCUUCUCUAAAAUACGGAAUAAGAAUUUGGAAUGUGAUGCUUUAAAAGGACUCUACAGUAGCUCCAUUUUGUGUUCCUACAUUGAUUUGGCAAGUAUUUAUGGGGCUGAGAUGAUGUUCAAAUCUCUGCAAGUUUUAGAGCUUCCUUUGGCGUAGUAGACAUGUUUUGUAUACCCAGCCUUUCUUCCUUGGGGGAGCCACCCUAUCCUGCUCUACCCAUGGGACUUGGUUGAAGCAAACCUUACUCCCUGGCUGUAGGAAUGGGAGCCAGCCCUGGACAGUCCCGGAACUGUGUGAGAGCUAGCAAGAAAGAGUCUCCUCUUGUACCAGGAACGGUAAGGGCCACCACACAGAGACGGGCAGCUUGAGAAUGAAGGCAAGAACGAAGGAAACCAAAAUCUGCCCCCGUGACCUUGUCCAGAUGCCAGUGCCCACCCUGGACUCCAAAGCCAUUGUGAACACCCUUCUGUCUUAGCCCAUCCGUAACUGCCAGGCAGAGAAAUCAGCUGGCAGCGGGAGAAUCUAGGCUUCGGGGCGACAGAGUGGCAGCACGGUCUCAACCAGGCUCCGGACGACAGCGCCCACUCACCUGUGCUGACACGGGCCGACCAGAUGGUGUCUCCCACCUCUUGGCGUCCUUCACAAAAGAUGAAGGCCCACAUGGGUUAGUAUGUUGUUUGCAUAUGCUUUGAAGGAAUUCUGUUCUAAAAUAAAGGAUGGUGCAGAAACUGUGGCGCAGGGGUUGCAAACCCAAGUAUUUCCAGGAGUAGAAAACUUAAAGUAGGUGGAGUGAACUGAGAAGUGUAUUCCUUGUCCAGUGAAGAGCCAUUAUUUUGUUCCAACUGAUUGUCGUCAGAUCUUAAGAAUUUUUUCAGGAGAAGCAGGAAAGUUGGAUUGUUACAUACAUGUCUGGGGGCCACGUAGAGACCCAGGCCUUCAGUGCGUAUCCUCUGGUCUAGCAGAACAAGGAUGGAUUUUGGCCAUUGGCCUGAGUCAGAACUCUGGGUCCAGGAUGUACUGGUGGUGUGAUCUCGGAUAGGUCAAUACAUUCGCAGAGUGUCCAUGUCCUCACUUUUGAAAUGAGGGCACCACUCCCACAGCUGGAGGGUCACAGGGAGACGAUGAGAUCAUGGACAACACGGGUGUGGGGAGGGCGGCCUGCCUGGCACACAGGGAACGCCAGCCUUGGUAUUUCAGCUCAUAAGUGACCCUUCAGUUUGCUGAUCCUGAUUCCCAGGGCGUUUGCUAAUCAACACGAGAGACUGUCCCUAGGAGAAGCCUACUGGGCCAGUGUUUGUGGAGCCUCCUGCUGCAUACCAGCCAUUGGCACGUUCGCUUGCCUGCGUCAUUCCCACAUCUGGAAGCCACAGCCCAUCUCUAGCUGUGCAGGGGGCAACGAAUCAAACCCGUUGAUCACAGAGGCCUAUGUAGAUCCUCCCACCUAACUCCUGUGGCUUUGCCUCCCUGAUGUCAACCACCAGGAUUGGUGUUUUCCUCCCUAAGGAAAUAAAGAUGAAAAGGGGAACUAAAUGCA